rnacentral:tRNA from 11 species
CGGGUUCAAAUCCUGUCUCCGCAA